rnacentral:tRNA from 1 species
GCCGGCAUAGCUCAAUGGUAGAGCAUCUGAUUUGUAAUCAGAUGGUUGCGGGUUCAAGUCCUGUUGCCGGCU